GACGAACGCUGGCGGCGUGCCUAAUACAUGCAAGUUGAGCGCUGAAGGUUGGUACUUGUACCAACUGGAUGAGCAGCGAACGGGUGAGUAACGCGUGGGGAAUCUGCCUUUGAGCGGGGGACAACAUUUGGAAACGAAUGCUAAUACCGCAUAAAAACUUUAAACACAAGUUUUAAGUUUGAAAGAUGCAAUUGCAUCACUCAAAGAUGAUCCCGCGUUGUAUUAGCUAGUUGGUGGGGUAAAGGCUCACCAAGGCGAUGAUACAUAGCCGACCUGAGAGGGUGAUCGGCCACAUUGGGACUGAGACACGGCCCAAACUCCUACGGGAGGCAGCAGUAGGGAAUCUUCGGCAAUGGACGAAAGUCUGACCGAGCAACGCCGCGUGAGUGAAGAAGGUUUUCGGAUCGUAAAACUCUGUUGGUAGAGAAGAACGUUGGUGAGAGUGGAAAGCUCAUCAAGUGACGGUAACUACCCAGAAAGGGACGGCUAACUACGUG
rnacentral:rRNA from 1 species